rnacentral:rRNA from 1 species
UCCACGCCGUAAACGAUGUCAAUUAGCCGUUGGGAGACUUGUUUUCUUAGUGGCGCAGCUAACGCGAUAAAUUGACCGCCUGGGGAGUACGGCCGCAAGGUUAAAACUCAAAUGAAUUGACGGGGGCCCGCACAAGCGGUGGAGCAUGUGGUUUAAUUCGAUGCAACGCGAAGAACCUUACCAGGUCUUGACAUCCUGAGAACUUUCUAGAGAUAGAUUGGUGCCUUCGGGAACUCAGUGACAGGUGCUGCGUGGCUGUCGUCAGCUCGUGUCGUGAGAUGUUGGG